rnacentral:rRNA from 1 species
GACGAACGCUGGCGGCGUGCCUAAUACAUGCAAGUAGAACGCAGUUGCGAACGGGUGAGUAACGCGUAGGUAACUGCCUGGUAGCGGGGGAUAACUAUUGGAAACGAUAGCUAAUACCGCAUACUACCAGAUGGACCUGCGUUGUAUUAGCUAGUUGGUGGGGUAACGGCUCACCAAGGCAACGAUACAUAGCCGACGCUGAGUGGUGGUCGACCACACUGGGAAUUGGGAAAGGCCCCGAACCCUACCGGAGGCAGGAGUAGGGAAACUUCGGCAAAGGGGGGAACGCUGAACGAGCAAAGCCGCGUGAGUUAAGAAGGUUUUCCGAUCGUAAAGCUCUGUUGUUAAGGAAGCGGUACUUAACCAGAAAGCGACGGCUAACUACGUGCCAGCAGCCGCGGUAAUAC